AAUGAACGCUGGCGGCAGGCCUAACACAUGCAAGUCGAACGAGUGGCGGACGGGUGAGUAAUGUCUGGGAAACUGCCCGAUGGAGGGGGAUAACUACUGGAAACGGUAGCUAAUACCGCAUACAAUCGGAUGUGCCCAGAUGGGAUUAGCUAGUAGGGGGGGUAACGGCUAACGAAGGCGACGCUCCCUAGCUGGGCUGAGAGGAUGACAAGCCACACGGCAACUGAGACACGGUCCAGUCUCCUGAGGGAGGCAGCAGGGGGGAAUCUUGCACAAUGGGCGCAAGCCUGAUGCAGCCAUGCCGCGUGUAUGAAGAAGGCCUUCGGGUUGUAAAGUACUUUCAGCGAGGAGGCGUUACUCGCAGAAGAAGCACCGGCUAACUCCGUGCCAGCCGCCGCGGUAAUAC
rnacentral:rRNA from 1 species